CAGCCGCCGCGGUAAUACGAAGGGUGCAAGCGUUACUCGGAAUUACUGGGCGUAAAGCGUGCGUAGGUGGUGGUUUAAGUCCGUUGUGAAAGCCCUGGGCUCAACCUGGGAAUUGCAGUGGAUACUGGGUCACUAGAGUGUGGUAGAGGAUAGUGGAAUUUCCGGUGUAGCAGUGAAAUGCGUAGAGAUCGGAAGGAACAUCUGUGGCGAAGGCGACUAUCUGGGCCAACACUGACACUGAGGCACGAAAGCGUGGGGAGCAAACAGGAUUAGAUACCCCAGUAUCCCUGUCUCUUAUACA
rnacentral:rRNA from 1 species